rnacentral:rRNA from 1 species
UACGUAGGGUGCAAGCGUUAAUCGGAAUUACUGGGCGUAAAGCGUGCGCAGGCGGCGCGUUAAGACAGGUGUGAAAGCCCCGAGCUUAACUUGGGAAUUGCGCUUGUGACUGGCGUGCUGGAGUGUGGCAGAGGGAGGUGGAAUUCCACGUGUAGCAGUGAAAUGCGUAGAGAUGUGGAGGAACACCGAUGGCGAAGGCGACUACCUGGACCAGCACUGACACUGAGGCACGAAAGCGUGGGGAGCAAACAGG